UACGUAGGUGGCAAGCGUUGUCCGGAUUUAUUGGGUUUAAAGGGUGCGUAGGCGGCUUUGUAAGUCAGUGGUGAAAUACUCUAGCUUAACUAGAGGGGUGCCAUUGAUACUGCAGAGCUUGAGUACAGACGAGGUAGGCGGAAUUGACGGUGUAGCGGUGAAAUGCAUAGAUAUCGUCAAGAACACCGAUAGCGAAGGCAGCUUACUGGGCUGUAACUGACGCUGAUGCACGAAAGUGUGGGGAUCAAACAGG
rnacentral:rRNA from 1 species